rnacentral:rRNA from 1 species
UACAGAGGGUGCGAACGUUGCUCGGAAUUAUUAGGCGUAAAGGGCGCGUAGGCGGCUUGACAAGUCCAAGGUGAAAUCCCUCGGCUCAACCGAGGAACUGCCUUGGAAACUGUCUGGCUCGAGGCCGGGAGAGGGUAGUGGAAUUCCCAGUGUAGCGGUGAAAUGCGUAGAUAUUGGGAGGAACACCGGUGGCGAAGGCGGCUACCUGGACCGGAUCUGACGCUGAUGCGCGAAAGCGUGGGGAGCAAACAGG